AUGGCGAGCGCCGGCGCGGCGAUCGGGGCGCGCGCGGCCCGCGCCUGCGACGGCUGCAUGCGGCGGCGGGCGCGGUGGCACUGCGCCGCGGACGACGCGUACCUGUGCCAGGCGUGCGACGCCUCCGUCCACUCGGCCAACCCGCUCGCGCGGCGCCACCACCGGGUGCGCCUCCCCUCCUCGUCCUCGCCGGCCGCCACCUCCUCCCUUCAGCACGCCGACCCGGACGAGCCCGCGUGGCUGCACGGCCUCAAGCGCCGGCCGCGCACGCCGCGGUCCAAGCCCGGGAUGGUGGGCAAGCACGGCGCGCCCGCCGCCGCGAAGGCCGCGGCUGCCUCGGCGGUCCCCGAUCUCGAGGCGGAGGACUCCGGCUCUGGCAUCGUCGGUGAAAACGACGACGGCCACGGCGUGGAGGUCGAAGACGAGGAUCUCCUGUACCGCGUCCCGGUGUUCGACCCCAUGCUCGCUGAGCUCUACAACCCCAUGCCGGUCGACGAGUUCCGGGAGCCCCUCGAGCAGAAGCCUUCCGUCUGCUGCUUCUCGUCGCUUGCCGGUCAGCCGUCGUCGGAGUAUGCAUCCGGCGUGGCGGACGCGGCCGACGGGUUCACCGGGUUCGACGUCGUGCCGGACAUGGAGCUCGCCAGCUUCGCCGCGGACAUGGAGAGCCUGCUCAUGGGAGGAGUCGAGGACGGGUUCGACGACCUGCGGUUCUUGGACGAAGAGAAGCCCCAGCUGAACCUUGACUUCGACAUGGCGGACUUCGAUGAUCAGAGCACCGCGGCGCCGGCGCCGGAGCAAGAGUUAGAGGACAGGAAAAGGAAGCGGUCGGACUCGGGGAUGAUACUUAAGCUCGACUACGAGAGGGUUAUCGACUCCUGGGUCCAUGACGGCGGCUCGCCGUGGUUCUACGGCGAGCGCCCCCACAUCGACCCUAGUGACGAUUCCUGGCUGGACUUACCGGCGGGGAGCCGGGGGUUCGGGCUCGGCGCAGCGGUGACGGCGGUGACCGGCGGCGAGCGGGAGGCGCGGGUGUCGCGGUACCGGGAGAAGCGGCGGACGCGGCUGUUCGCCAAGAAGAUCCGGUACGAGGUGCGCAAGCUCAACGCCGAGAAGCGGCCGCGGAUGAAGGGGCGGUUCGUCAAGCGCACCGCGCUGCCACCGCUGCCGCCGCGGCCGCCGAUGGUGCUCGCGGCCCACGGCCACGGCGGCGCGCACGGGCGCUUCCGUUUUUGA
rnacentral:rRNA from 1 species